rnacentral:rRNA from 1 species
UACGGAGGGUGCGAGCGUUAAUCGGAAUUACUGGGCGUAAAGCGCGCGUAGGCGGUUUGUUAAGUCAGCUGUGAAAGCCCCGGGCUCAACCUGGGAACUGCAGUUGAUACUGUCCGACUAGAGUACGAGAGAGGGAGGUAGAAUUCCAUGUGUAGCGGUGAAAUGCGUAGAUAUAUGGAGGAAUACCGGUGGCGAAGGCGGCCUCCUGGCUCGAUACUGACGCUGAGGUGCGAAAGCGUGGGGAUCAAACAGGAUUAGAUACCCUGGUAGUCCACGCUGUAAACGAUGUCUACUAGCCGUUGGGAGACUUGAUUUCUUAGUGGCGCAGCUAACGCAAUAAGUAGACCGCCUGGGGAGUACGGCCGCAAGGUUAAA